rnacentral:piRNA from 1 species
ACAUCUGACAUCAACCUCUGUUCUCC